rnacentral:rRNA from 1 species
AUUGAACGCUGGCGGCAUGCCUUACACAUGCAAGUCGAACGGCAGCACGGGUGCUUGCCCCUGGUGGCGAGUGGCGAACGGGUGAGUAAUACAUCGGAACAUGUCCUGUAGUGGGGGAUAGCCCGGCGAAAGCCGGAUUAAUACCGCAUACGAUCCACGGAUGAAAGCGGGGGCCCUUCGGGCCUCGCGCUAUCGGGUUGGCCGAUGGCUGAUUAGCUAGUUGGUGGGGUAAAGGCCUACCAAGGCGACGAUCAGUAGCUGGUCUGAGAGGACGACCAGCCACACUGGGACUGAGACACGGCCCAGACUCCUAAGGGAGGCAGCAGUGUGGAAUUUUGGACAAUGGGCGAAAGCCUGAUCCAGCAAUGCCGCGUGUGUGAAGAAGGCCUUCGGGUUGUAAAGCACUUUUGUCCGGAAAGAAAUCCUUGACUCUAAUACAGUCGGGGGAUGACGGUACCGGAAGAAUAAGCACCGGCUAACUACGUG